rnacentral:rRNA from 1 species
CGCAUCUGUGCAUGCAGCAUAUCAAUAAGCGGAGGAAAAGAAAAUAACAAUGAUUUCCCUAGUAACGGCGAGUGAACAGGAAAGAGCUCAAAGUUGGAACCUGCUUGACUUAGUUAAGCCGGAUUGUAAACUGUAGAAACGUUUUCUAGGCAAGCCGAGUUAAAAAGUCCUUUGGAACAGGGAUAUCAUAGAGGGUGAGAAUCCCGUCUUUGACUCGAGUAUUUUGUCUUUUUAUGAUACGUUUUCCAAGAGUCAGGUUGUUUGGGAAUGCAGCCUAAAUUGGGUGGUAAAUCUCACCUAAAGCUAAAUAUUUGCGAGAGACCGAUAGCGAACAAGUACCGUGAGGGAAAGAUGAAAAGAACUUUGAAAAGAGAGUUAAACAGUACGUGAAAUUGUCAAAAGGGAAGCGUUUGACACCAGUGUUGUUUUUCUGAAAAUCAAUUAAAGAACUGUUUAUGCUAAGUUGUUUAGACUUUAUCAGCUAUCUGUUUAGUUUUGAGCUUUUCUUUAAUGCACUUUUCAGUUAACAAGUCAACAUCAAUUUCUUUUGCUGUAAAAAAGCUGAGGAAGGUGGCUUGAGAUUCGUCUUAAGUGUUUAUAGCCUCUUGCCUAUGCAGUCGGAGAGAUUGAGGUCUGCAGCGUAGAUCCUUCGGGGCUAAAUGCAUUUGUGCUAAGUUAUAGCAUUUUAUAGACAACUUGUUGACUAUGAUUUAGUCUUGUAGCUUACUCGCUUAUGUUAUUGUACCUACGCUUAGGAUGUUGACUGAUAUGUAGUCGU